GUCACUAUCCUCAACAGGACUUUCAUGAAGGCUUCCCUCCUUGGGGGUUAAGAUCUGAAGUUAGUCAAGAAUGGACUUCAAGUGAUGGAUGAAUUUGCUGUGUCCCUGCUAAGUUGCAGUCUCGGGCGUCCGAUAGGGGAAGAUCAUGGUGGUGCUAUAGCUUCAGAAGUGCCCAGUGUCUCAUACUGAGAAAAGCAGACCUGGGUGUUAAUGCAAUACAAAACAUGAGAUGUUAAAGCCGGAUGUAUGGCGUGAUUGAGAUUACAAGUCUAAUGGCAGUUUCUGUGCAUGUGUAACAAUCUACAUAUUUAUGUAAGUACUUAUGGUGUCUGCAUCAAUGUGUUGUGGAUAAUUGACUAGUAUAUCCCCU